UACGAAGGGGGCUAGCGUUGUUCGGAAUUACUGGGCGUAAAGCGCACGUAGGCGGACUUUUAAGUCAGAUGUGAAAUCCCGAGGCUCAACCUGGAACUGCAUUUGAAACUGGGAGUCUAGAGAUCAGGAGAGGUUAGCGGAAAUACCGGAGUGUAGAGGUGAAAUUCGUAGAUAUUCGGUGGAACACCAGUGGCGAAGGCGGCUAAACUGGACUGAUACUGACGCUGAGGUGCGAAAAGUGUGGGGAGCAAACAGGGAUUAGAUACCCGGGGUAGUCC
rnacentral:rRNA from 1 species